CCUUUAUCAAUUUUAACACAAGAAAUUAACCUCUUGUUGAAUAUUUUCAUGAAAGUUGUUAAGCUGCAAACUACGCCGUUUAUUUGAGCUAGCUAAUUAAUUAGUGCACUAUCAAGGGAAGGUGUGUAAAUGACGCAAGGAGGUCAAGGAGAACGGGGUGACCCUGAAGCCUAAGAUGCUGUAGAACUUAUUCUGGAACUACACCCUGAGAGACAGAGACACAUAAAAAUAAUCAAAACAAAAAAUGGACUUCUGAUUCCCAUGAUGGACGAGUUUGAUGACACAGAUCCCACGAACAUUAACUCUUUCUCCCCAGGGAAACGGAUGAGAUUACACGCCUUUAAAUAACUGCAACUUCUGUGGGGUGGGGGUGCUUCAGAUGAUGUUUUGAUAGCUGUAAAGUGCUUUCUAACUGCCGUUAUGCAAUGACUGGAAGUCAAAACAUUUCAUAAUCGUUAGAAAUCACGUGGAUAUGCAUUUUUUCCCCUGGAGGUGGCGCUACGUUGAGUGGUGGUAGACUGUGCCACUCUGCACCCAACUGGCAAAGAAGAGAAUGAUCUCCUGCAGUACAGUACGCCACUGCAGUAUUGAGGAAAGCUGCAUGGAGUUAGCCUGCUGGCCUCACGUUAAACACUAAAGGGCACACAAGGACUGGCACGCAGAACAAACUCACACCAACAAGCACAAGAGAACACCAGGAGCACGGGGCUGGUUUUAAUUCACAUUUUUAUUGGAGAUCCAAAGUCAAUUAAAUCCCAUCUACAUAAGGGAUAUAAAUCUCACACAGAACUAAUUAUGCAAAACUGAAAAUUUAAAUUUUCAUAGAGGGGGACAGAACAAGAAGGGGAGGUCAAAAGGGAAUGUAAAAAAAGAAACAAUGGCACAAUGAACAAAAAAAUCAAACCAAGACUACUAGAGAAGAGGAAAAAGGGAAGGAGGAAAGAAA